AGCAUCCUCACCGCCUGGUUACUGCAGCAUUUGACACACAGGAGAGAAAAGGAGAAAAGAAAAGAUCACACACUUCACUGCUGAAAACGCUCUGGUCCACAUCUCAGAGCUUUAGGGACGUGGUGGAGAUGUAAUGAACCAUCUGAAUGAAGGGCAGGGGGUCCGAAGAGGCUCCACAGCUGCUGCACACACACUCAUGUUCUGGAUCUAAACAAGGGCCAGAGCUUGCUGUGCAGAGCCGUUUCUGUUUAAUCGGAUGAAGAAACGAUUCAAGCCAACAAAGUCCAGAUUUCCAUCUUGUCACCAAAUCUUUGCUGUGGUAAAGAAAUCGGAAGACUGGAUUUGUACGUGUAAGUCGGACCAGUGGAG